rnacentral:hammerhead_ribozyme from 1 species
AUCCAACUGGCAAGUCCCAAAUAGGACGAAACAAGCGUUCUGGAU